rnacentral:rRNA from 1 species
CCCUUAGAUGUCCUGGGCCGCACGCGCGCUACACUGACAUGUUCAACAAGUUUCUCCUAGUUCGACAGGACUGGGAAAUCUUUGAACGCAUGUCGUGAUAGGGAUAGAUCAUUGCAAUUAUUGAUCUUGAACGAGGAAUUCCUAGUAAACGCGAGUCAUCAGCUCGCAUUGAUUACGUCCCUGCCCUUUGUACACACCGCCCGUCGCACCUACCGAUUGAAUGUUUCGGUGAAGAUUCCGGACAGGACUGAUUUGAUUUAUUUCAUUUCUGACCUAAAAGCUAUCUAAACCUCAACAUUUAGAGGAAGGUGAAGUCGUAACA